rnacentral:rRNA from 1 species
GUGGGGAAUCUUGCGCAAUGGGCGAAAGCCUGACGCAGCCAUGCCGCGUGAAUGAUGAAGGUCUUAGGAUUGUAAAAUUCUUUCACCGGGGACGAUAAUGACGGUACCCGGAGAAGAAGCCCCGGCUAACUUCGUGCCAGCAGCCGCGGUAAUACGAAGGGGGCUAGCGUUGCUCGGAAUUACUGGGCGUAAAGGGCGCGUAGGCGGACAGUUUAGUCAGAGGUGAAAGCCCAGGGCUCAACCUUGGAAUUGCCUUUGAUACUGGCUGUCUUGAGUACGGGAGAGGUGAGUGGAACUCCGAGUGUAGAGGUGAAAUUCGUAGAUAUUAGGAAGAACACCAGUGGCGAAGGCGGCUCACUGGUCCGGUACUGACGCUGAGGUGCGAAAGCGUGGGGAGCAAACAGGAUUAGAUACCCCAGUAGUCC